CUCACACCUGUGCACCCUCUGUAGUUCUAUGGUCUGGGGGGCCCUGCCUCCCUUCUGUGGUUCUGCAUAUUUACACACACACUGUAACAAAGUCUUAUGGAAUGUACAUCGCGUUUAACGCAAUACAAUACAACUUUCAGCAACGGAUCUCUUGGCUCUCGCAUCGAUGAAGAACGCAGCGAAAUGCGAUAAGUAAUGUGAAUUGCAGAAUUCAGUGAAUCAUCGAAUCUUUGAACGCACCUUGCGCCCCUUGGCUAUUCCGAAGGGCAUGCCUGUUUGAGUAUCAUGAACACCUCAACUCCCGUGGUUCGCCAUGGUGAGCUUGGACUUUGGAGGUUUUGCUGGCCCAUGGUCAGCUCCUCUCAAAUGAAUUAGCCUGCCAGUGUUUGGUGGCAUCACAGGUGUGAUAAAUAUCUACGCUUGCGAUUGCCCACCAGGUAACCUUCAGCAAUGGGGGUUCGCUGGGGCUCAUAGACGUCUCUCCCUCGGCGAGGACAGUUUUUUUAAC
rnacentral:sRNA from 1 species